UACGUAGGGGGCAAGCGUUGUCCGGAAUCAUUGGGCGUAAAGAGCGUGUAGGCGGUCCGGUCAGUCGGUUGUGAAAGUCAAGGGCUCAACCCUUGAAUGCCGGCCGAUACUGCCGGGCUAGAGUCCGGAAGAGGUGAGUGGAAUUCCUGGUGUAGCGGUGAAAUGCGUAGAUAUCAGGAGGAAUACCAGUGGCGAAGGCGGCUUUCUGGGCCUACCCUGACGCUGAGGUGCGAAAGCGUGGGGAGCAAACAGG
rnacentral:rRNA from 1 species